UUUAUUUCUGAGUGAAUGUUCUUUGACGUUUUUUCUCAUCAUGGCGGCGCUGAUUCUGCUUUGUGUUUUGUCUAUUUUCACAUUUCUUACUCUACAGCAGCGAUUAAACAAAUCGGGAAUAAUCGUGUUGUAGAACCGAACGGGAAUGAUCUCGACAGUAUUCGCUUACCGGUUGCUUAUCAUCCAGUGCGCGGCGUGUUAUUCGUCUGGACGGUCGUUUCUGGAUAACGUCAAAAACGCGAUGGAGAAUAAUUACGAGAUGCAGACCAAUGCUACAAUGUUUCGGGAGGAAGCACCAUCCGUUCAGAAGGAUAUUCGUGUGUCUUCCGAUGAGAUUUAACAGCCCCUCUAUGACGACAGAUUCAUCUAAUUUCCAUUAUUCCAUAAACUGCUCCGGACUAUAACUUCACACGUCCAGCCUGUUGCGGUCCAUUUGGCAAACAACCAUCAGAGGACAAGAAUGCUUUGAGAUUCAUGUCACCAAGUGAUUCCUGAAAUCGGUUACAUUUUCUAUUAUAAUUGGGCUGAUUGGAAAGAACAUGUAGAACGCCAGCACUGUAUGUUGUCCAACCGGACGAUAACUAGGUAAAUUAUUUAGGUUCAUUCAGUGCUGUAUUAUAUGGCGUUCCACUAUUGUUAUAAUAAUUUCCGUCGGUGAUAAUGCAAUCACAUAAAUGAUACUGCUUGUCGCUUGUCUUCGUACAACUGUCAUCGUUUCUCGUUAAAUCGGGUGCCUCGGUGGAUGAUGACCUAUGUGGUUUGGUUGUAUCUAGGGAAUCCGUACUACCGUGGUGUCAUCGGAGGCGAUAGAGGUUUUCAACUGAUUGAUUGCUGGGCGUCGCAUGUGGGGUUUGUUUAUAUUUCCGUGUGAUGACUGCUUAGAGUCGGUUAGUAGUUAACUGAAUAUGAGUGGAUAAAGCUUUCCUGGUUAUGCGUGUACUCAUUCUGUAGGGCCAAAACAGCUUGCAUUUUCUAGCGACAUUAUGAUCGGAUGGAUAGUCUGAAUUUUUAAAUAUCCAAUAAAAUGUUUUUAUUUUAGAAUUGUUUCACUAAUAACCUUUUAUAAUUUCAUUCAAUUUCCUGAUCCUGAGUCAUCCUGAUUAGAUCACCGACUCACUCUCUUCAUCCACCCAUAUACCACAUAACACUUCUGCUUGUAUAAUAUAAUUGAUAGUUAUCACUGAUGACCAAUCAGACAUUCUUUGAAAAUAUAUUGUCCACUAUCGACACUUCCGGCUUUUGGACAUAUUCCACAUUUAAAGUCACAUCGGUUCUUCGGUGCUGACUGAACUUUUUUCUUAAACCACGUCUUAAAUAACAGGUAUAAUGGCUGUUGCACCGCCCCUCCCCUUACCCUUAUACCACCCCUCUUCAUCGCCGGCCUUCAAGAAGCGCAUAUUUAACGUUAAAAUACUUCACUACUAUUUUUCUCAAAUAGGCUCUAUUGAGCAUUCUUUAAACACUGUUUGUAGUUUCACGGGUGGAUUAGCGGAAUAUGUUUGCUUAGCACUAUAAUAAUAGCUUUUGCAUUGGUUCUCUUGCUUUAAAAAACUUAAUCCUAGUAAUUGCUUACUGGUAGAAUUUAAAGAUUUGUUAUGUCCUGCAUGUGCAGUUUCAGAUUUUACUAAUAAACACGGUGCUGCCAUCCAAUUUCACAAGUUAUAUGCCAGAGCCAAUUGUAAUUGUAAUUUAUUUGUCGCACGGUAACCUGUUAGCUAAGCUAUAC